UACGUAGGGUCCGAGCGUUGUCCGGAAUUAUUGGGCGUAAAGGGCGCGUAGGCGGUGCGGCAAGUCACCUGUGAAACCUCUGGGCUUAACCCAGAGCCUGCAGGCGAAAACUGCCGUGCUGGAGUGUGGGAGAGGUGCGUGGAAUUUCCCGGUGUAGCGGUGAAAUGCGUAGAUAUCGGGAGGAACACCUGUGGCGAAAGCGGCGCACUGGACCACAACUGACGCUGAGGCGCGAAAGCUAGGGGGAGCAAACAGG
rnacentral:rRNA from 1 species